rnacentral:rRNA from 1 species
CCCUUAGAGUUUGAUCCUGGCUCAGGAUGAACGCUGGCGGCGUGCCUAACACAUGCAAGUCGAACGGGGUUAUUUUGGAAAAUCCUUCGGGAUUGGAAUUCUUAACCUAGUGGCGGACGGGUGAGUAACGCGUGAGCAAUCUGCCUUUAAGAGGGGGAUAACAGUCGGAAACGGCUGCUAAUACCGCAUAAAGCAUUGAAUUCGCAUGUUUUCGAUGCCAAAGGAGCAUCCGCUUUUAGAUGAGCUCGCGUCUGAUUAGCUAGUUGGCGGGGUAACGGCCCACCAAGGCGACGAUCAGUAGCCGGACUGAGAGGUUGAACGGCCACAUUGGGACUGAGACACGGCCCAGACUCCUACGGGAGGCAGCAGUGGGGAAUAUUGCGCAAUGGGGGAAACCCUGACGCAGCAACGCCGCGUGAUGAAGAAGGCCUUCGGGUUUAAAGAUCUUUAAUCAGGGACGAAA